rnacentral:rRNA from 1 species
GAUGAACGCUGGCGGCGUGCCUAAUACAUGCAAGUCGAACGCAUUGUGGUUGAAAUGAUAUGAAGAACUUGUUCAGAUUUGAUUUUCAACAUUGCAAUGAGUGGCGAACGGGUGAGUAACACGUGGGAAACCUACCUCUUAGCAGGGGAUAACAUUUGGAAACAAAUGCUAAUACCGUAUAAUAAUUAAAACCGCAUGGUUUAGUUUAAAGAUGGUCUUGCUAUCACUAAGAGAUGGUCCCGCGGUGUAUUAGUUAGUUGGUGAGGUAAUGGCUCACCAAGACAAUGAUACAUAGCCGAGUUG